GGUGAGAAAGGUAACCUUAAAGCUUCAUGAGGCCUCAAAAGAUCUGGCAUCAGAUUGGUUGAGUCGCGCAUUGCAAGAAAUGCAAAUUACUAAAAGCCGAACUCCAAGAAUUACAACAUAGAGAACUCAAAAUGAUCCAAUUGUGUUAAUUCAUUCAUUUAGGUCAUUGUGUUAAUUAAUAUUAUGCUCCUAAGUAUCAUAGGUCAAACAUUCAGGGGAGCAUAUUCAUAAGGGUGAAAUCUGAAAUUG
rnacentral:lncRNA from 1 species